rnacentral:tRNA from 1 species
AUCAAGAUGGCCGAGUGGUUAAGGCGCCAGACUUAAGAUUCUAAUUCAAAUUAUAGAUUAAUAGGUAAUCUUGUGAAAUCCGUUACUUGGCAUUCUGGUCUUCGAAGAAGGCGUGGGUUCGAACCCCACUCUUGACA